AUGGGAUCGAUUGGCAACAGGAUACCUGAAGUUGGUAUGCGGUUCAGAAAUUCGGAUGAGGCUUGGGAGUUCUGGGUGCAAUAUGGAGGUCACAUAGGCUUUGAUGUGAGGAAAAGAAAUACCAUCAGAAGCAGAAUUGAUGGAACAAUCACUUCAUGUAGAUUUGUUUGUUCCAAUGAAGACAUUCGAAGGAAAAGUCAAAUAGAUCACGAGCCGAAGCGCAUUAGAGCUGAAACAAGAACCAAUUGUAAAGUUCGGAUGAUUGUUUCAUUUGAUCGAGUGGCCAAAUUUUUUGAAGUCACCGAAGUUGAUUUGGAACACAAUCACCUCCUUCAAUUGCCACAAACCUGUCACUUGUUGGCAUCACAAAGGAAGAUUUCAGAUGUGCAAGCUUUAGAGAUAGAAAUAGCCGAUGAUUCUGGAAUUAUGCCAAAAGCUUCACAUGAG
rnacentral:rRNA from 1 species